rnacentral:rRNA from 1 species
AUUGAACGCUGGCGGCAGGCCUAACACAUGCAAGUCGAACGAACCCUUCGGGGUUAGUGGCGGACGGGUGAGUAACACGUGGGAACGUACCUUUAGGUUCGGAACAACACAGGGAAACUUGUGCUAAUGCCGAAUGUGCCCUUCGGGGAAAGAUUUAUCGCCUUUAGAGCGGCCCGCGUCUGAUUAGCUUGUUGGUGAGGUAAAGGCUCACCAAGGCUUCGAUCAGUAGCUGGUCUGAGAGGAUGAUCAGCCACACUGGGACUGAGACACGGCCCAGACUCCUACGGGAGGCAGCAGUGGGGAAUCUUGCGCAAUGGGCGAAAGCCUGACGCAGCCAUGCCGCGUGAAUGAUGAAGGUCUUAGGAUUGUAAAAUUCUUUCACCGGGGAAGAUAAUGACGGUACCCGGAGAAGAAGCCCCGGCUAACUUCGUG